rnacentral:rRNA from 1 species
ACGAACGCUGGCGGCGUGCUUAACACAUGCAAGUCGAACGGAAAGGCCCUGCUUGCAGGGUACUCGAGUGGCGAACGGGUGAGUAACACGUGGGUGAUCUGCCCUGCACUUCGGGAUAAGCCUGGGAAACUGGGUCUAAUACCGGAUAGGAGCCAUUUUUAGUGUGAUGGUUGGAAAGUUUUUUCGGUGUAGGAUGAGCUCGCGGCCUAUCAGCUUGUUGGUGGGGUAAUGGCCUACCAAGGCGGCGACGGGUAGCCGGCCUGAGAGGGUGGACGGCCACAUUGGGGCUGAGAUACGGCCGAGACGCCUACGGGUGGCAGCAGUGGGGAAUAUUGCACAAUGGGCGCAAGCCUGAUGCAGCGACGCCGCGUGGGGGAUGACGGCCUUCGGGUUGUAAACUCCUUUCGCUAGGGACGAAGCGUUUUGUGACGGUACCUAGAUAAGAAGCACCGGCUAACUACGUG